rnacentral:rRNA from 1 species
AUGGCCGGGUACCGCAGCCGCAGCCGAAGCCGUAGCUACAGCCCACGCAGGCGCUACAGCCGCAGUCCUCCCCGCUACAGGCACUACGACGACCCGCGUGACCGCUACCGCGGCGGCGGCGGCGGGCCCCGCCGCGGGUACGACCGACCGUCGGCGCCCACCGGCCUCCUGGUCCGCAACAUUUCACUCACCGCCAGGCUAGAAGACAUUCGUGGUCCAUUCGAGCAAUUUGGCCCUAUAAAGGAUGUGUACCUUCCGAGAAAUUUCCACACAAAGGAAUUACGUGGUUUUGGGUUUGUGAAAUUCCACCACCCUGAGGACGCUGCAUAUGCUAAGCAAGAAAUGAAUCAUCAAGUUAUUUGCGGUCGAGAGAUUACAAUAGUUUUUGCCGAGGAGAAUAGAAAAACCCCACAAGAAAUGCGCUUCAGAACAAGAUCAAGUGGUAGGCAUAUGGAUGGAAACUACAGAAGAAGGCAGUCGCUGUCAAGAUCCCCAAGGUCUCGUUACCCCUCUUAUUCACCUGAACCUUCUCCAGUUAGACGGCACUCCAGGGACAGAGAUAAUUAUUCUCCUAGGGGUUCAUACUCUCCACAUACUCGGGACAAGAGGCAGCACAUAUCAGAUGGUCGAUCGCCUAGCCUAGAUGGACAUGAGCGUAGGAUAUCACCAUCCAAUAAUGGACAUGGUCCACCAGUUGACAGGAGGAGCCCAACCUGA